AGCAGCCGCGGUAAUUCCAGCUCCAAUAGCGUAUAUUAAAGUUGUUGCAGUUAAAAAGCUCGUAGUUGAACUUCGGGGUUUACCCAUUGGUCAGGCUUAAUUGUCUGUACUGGUGAGAUGAAUCUCUACCUUCUGAGGAACUUUCAUGCCAUUUAUUUGGUGUGAUGGGAAAUCAGGACUGUUACUUUGAAAAAUUAGAGUGUUUAAAGCAGGCUAACGUCUGAAUACAUUAGCAUGGAAUAAUGAAAUAGGACGGACUGAUUCUAUUUCGUUGGUUUCUAGGAUCACCGUAAUGAUUAAUAGGGAUAGUUGGGGGCAUUAGUAUUCAAUUGUCAGAGGUGAAAUUCUUGGAUUUAUUGAAGACUAACUACUGCGAAAGCAUUUGCCAAGGAUGUUUUCAUUAAUCAAGAACGAAAGUUAGGGGAUCGAAGACGAUCAGAUACCGUCGUAGUCUUAACCAU
rnacentral:rRNA from 1 species